rnacentral:rRNA from 1 species
UACGGAGGGGGCGAGCGUUAUUCGGAAUUAUUGGGCGUAAAGGGCGCGUGGAGGCGUUGGUAAGUCAAAGGUGAAAUCCCUCGGCUCAACUGAGGAAUUGCCUUUGAAACUGCCAGGCUUGAGGCCGGGAGGGGGUAGCGGAAUUCCCAGUGUAGCGGUGAAAUGCGUAGAUACUGGGAGGAACACCAGUGGCGAAGGCGGCUACCUGGACCGGAACUGACGCUGAUGCGCGAAAGCGUGGGGAGCAAA